UACAGGGGGUGCAAACGUUGCUCGGAAUUAUUGGGCGUAAAGCGCGCGUAGGCGGCCGUUUAAGUCGGAUGUGAAAGCCCCUGGCUCAACUGGGGAAGUGCACCCGAAACUGAAUGGCUUGAGUACUAAAGAGGGUCGCGGAAUUCCCGGUGUAGAGGUGAAAUUCGUAGAUAUCGGGAGGAACACCAGUGGCGAAGGCGACUACCUGGCCUGUUCUUGACGCUGAGGCGCGAAAGCUAGGGGAGCAAACGGG
rnacentral:rRNA from 1 species